rnacentral:rRNA from 1 species
UAGGGAAUCUUCGGCAAUGGACGAAAGUCUGACCGAGCAACGCCGCGUGAGUGAAGAAGGUUUUCGGAUCGUAAAACUCUGUUGUUAGAGAAGAACAAGGACGUUAGUAACUGAACGUCCCCUGACGGUAUCUAACCAGAAAGCCACGGCUAACUACGUGCCAGCAGCCGCGGUAAUACGUAGGUGGCAAGCGUUGUCCGGAUUUAUUGGGCGUAAAGCGAGCGCAGGCGGUUUCUUAAGUCUGAUGUGAAAGCCCCCGGCUCAACCGGGGAGGGUCAUUGGAAACUGGGAGGCUUGAGUUCAGAAGGGGGAGGGGGAAUUCCAUGUGUAGCGGUGAAAUGCGUAGAUAUAAGGAGGAACACCAGUGGCGAAGGCGGCUCGCUGGUCUGUAACUGACGCUGAGGCUCGAAAGCGGGGGGAGCAAACAGG